GACGAACCGUGCGAACGUUGUUCGGAUUCACUGGGCUUAAAGGGCGCGUAGGCGGACAAUCAAGUCAGGGGUGAAAGCCUCCAGCUCAACUGGAGAAGUGCCUUUGAUACUGACUGUCUCGAGGGAGGUGAGGGGCAUGUGGAACUUCCGGUGGAGCGGUGAAAUGCGUAGAUAGUCGGAAGGAACGCCGGUGGCGAAAGCGACGUGCUGGACCUCUUCUGAC
rnacentral:rRNA from 1 species